CGUGUAGGCGGCCAAUCAGGUCUGUUGUGAAAACUGGAGGCUCAACCUCCAGACGUCGACAGAAACCGGUUGGCUAGAGUCCGGAAGAGGAGAGUGGAAUUCCUGGUGUAGCGGUGAAAUGCGCAGAUAUCAGGAAGAACACCAAUGGCGAAGGCAGCUCUCUGGGACGGUACUGACGCUGAGACGCGAAAGCGUGGGAGCGAACA
rnacentral:rRNA from 1 species